UACGGGAGGCAGCAGUGGGGGAUAUUGCACAAUGGAGGAAACCCUGAUGCAGCGACGCCGCGUGAGUGAAGAAGUAUUUCGGUACGUAAAGCUCUAUCAGCAGGGAAGAUAAUGACGGUACCUGACUAAGAAGCCCCGGCUAACUACGUGCCAGCAGCCGCGGUAAU
rnacentral:rRNA from 1 species